rnacentral:rRNA from 1 species
UCGACGAUUGGAAGUAAAAGUCGUAAAAGGUUUCCGUAGGUGAACCUGCGGAAGGAUCAUUA